GGUCAGUUUACCCAUGAACGCAUCGUCACAGUCCCGUAGGCUACCUUCUCCUUUGUUUCCAUUUAUUUCUGGAAUUUUCUAAAGAAUAUCUUUCUCAUCUCUGCCUUCUCCCUCCGUGGCGACAAGGAUCAUGGCUGCUGGUAUUCACUGCUCUCUUUACCACCCAGCCAGGUUCCUCUCCCUAAACGUCCAGUGCGAAUGCACAGAGAGAUGAAUGGCCGGGGAGAUGGAUGGGCAGAGGAGCCUGAAGGAAAAACAAGCCGGAGGGAGGGGAGUGAUUACAACAGUCUAGCCGGCAAGGCAGAAAGGAGCUGGAAAUAGGGACUGGCUCAGACACACACCAGGAGGUAGCUGCCUGUAACACAGCUACAGGGUCACUAGGAAGCCACCGCCCGCCCCCCUCCCCCACCCUGGCUCCAGUGCCUGAGGUCCCUUUUACUAAAGGCGACAAAGCCUUUUGUUCCCUCAGAGGUGCAGAGCUCAGAGUGACUCCCACAUUCCUGGAGAGGGAAGAAGUGCGCAGAGGCUUACCUACAUUUUGUGUAAGUGACUGAGGGAGCCUUUCUUAAGCACAAAUGGUGAUGGAAGGCCCUGUGUGGAGGAGGGGAGAGAAAAAUAGGGAGUGAGGCCUGGACCUAAAAUGGGAAAAAGACGCAGACAAAGGAGUCUUAGGGCCUGAGGCCAACCUUGACCUAAAGUGUCAUUUUGCCUCUGCUGCACACAGUCCUACUGGGUAUUCAGAGCCUUUUUGGUAAAUGUGGUUCUGCAAAUACUUGACGUCUGGAAAACUUUCAGCCAAGAUGGCGUUCGGAAGCCUGGCUCGCAGGCCCCAGGAUGACAACCUAAUUACGUUCCUUUUAAUAGCUCCUUCCCAAGUGCUCAGUCAGGGACAUCUGCUGUGCCGCGGUUGCACCUUCAGGGAGGAGUAUUUUUAUCACCGUGAUGCCACAAAAGGAAACUUCUGAAGGCUGGAUGAAAAUGGCCUCUGCAUUCCCAGAGCCUCAGGGCCCAGAUGCCCAGAGCCUCUGGAACAAGGAAGGAGGAGCACCCCACGGGCAAGAAAGAAAGAACGUCUGGGAGAAGCACUCCUUCCCGGAGAUGUUAGAGACCCAGUGUGAGACCUUCCUCAGAGGUUUCAACGGGAGUAUGGACUCAGGAUGGUCAGCAUGAGGGUCCUAGAAGUGGGCACCACCAGACCAGGAAAAGGAGUAAACAGAGCUCUGAGAACUGAGGUAAGACCGAGGGAAUAGCCAUUAAUACCCUCACUACCUAGCAUCUUUUUUUCCCACGCAUUUUGGGCUCUUCAGGGGUGCCCUGGGAGGGUAAGGAGAUAGGGGGCAGCAGGGACUUGGACUUUGUGGGCUUCUGUAAUUUCCUGCCUGUGACCUUUCUCUCCGGUUUAAUUAUCCUUAUUUCUCCAGCUGUUGGGAGGAGUACUUGAGUAACACCCCCGACCCCUGCCCACAUCGGGAGAGUUUAACUCUUGCUAGAUCUUUUCUCACAUUUAGAUAAGCUCUAC
rnacentral:lncRNA from 9 species